rnacentral:rRNA from 1 species
AACUUUCAACAACGGAUCUCUUGGUUCCGGCAUCGAUGAAGAACGCAACGAAAUGCGAUACGUAAUGUGAAUUGCAGAAUUCAGUGAAUCAUGCAGUCUUUGAACGCACAUUGCGCCCUCUGGUAUUCCGGAGGGCAUGCCUGUCCGAGCGUCNUUG